GGGAGGAUAGCAUAAUUGGUUAAUGUACCGUUUUGUCAAGACGGGGUAUGGCGGUUCGAGCCCGCUUCUUCUCG
rnacentral:tRNA from 1 species